UGCCGAUCCCGCGCCGACCUCAAGGCAGCGGUCGCCAUUGUUGACUUCCCGGAGGGGGGGUCAACUUGGGCGAUGGUGCGAGCUGAACCGCCUCAGGCUGGAAACAGAGCAAGGAAAAGGUUCCGCCGUUGUCAGUGAGGCGAUCACGCGGGUGAAU
rnacentral:SRP_RNA from 11 species